rnacentral:rRNA from 1 species
UGGGGAAUAUUGCACAAUGGGGGAAACCCUGAUGCAGCGACGCCGCGUGAGCGAUGAAGGCUUUCGAGUCGUAAAGCUCUGUCCUAUGGGAAGAUAAUGACGGUACCAUAGAAGAAAGCCCCGGCUAAUUACGUGCCAGCAGCCGCGGUAAUACGUAAGGGGCGAGCGUUGUCCGGAAUUAUUGGGCGUAAAGAGUGCGUAGGCGGCAAAUUAAGUCAGAUGUGAAAACUAAGGGCUCAACCCAUAGAUUGCAUCUGAAACUGAUAUGCUUGAGUCAAGGAGAGGAAAGUGGAAUUCCUAGUGUAGCGGUGGAAUGCGUAGAUAUUAGGAGGAAUACCGGUGGCGAAUGCGACUUUCUGGACUUUUACUGACGUUCAGGUACGAAAGCGUGGGGAGCAAACAGG